rnacentral:rRNA from 1 species
AGUGAACGCUGGCGGCAGGCCUAACACAUGCAAGUCGAACGAGUGGCGGACGGGUGUGUAACGUCUGGGAAACUGCCCGAUGGAGGGGGAUAACUAUUGGAACCGGUAGCUAAUACCGCAUACCAUCGGAUGUGCCCUGACGGGAUUAGCUAGUAGGUGGGGUAACGGCUCACCUAGGCGACGCUCCCUAGCUGGUCUGAGAGGAUGACCAGCCACACUGGAACGGAGACACGGUCCCGACUCCUACGGGAGGCCGCAGUGGGGAAUAUUGCACAAUGGGCGAAAGCCGGAUGCAGCCAUGCCGCGUGUAUGAGGAGGGCCUUCGGGUUGUAAAGUACUUUCAGCGAGGAGGCGUUACUCGCAGAAGAAGCCCCGGCUAACUCCGUGCCAGCAGCCGCGGUAAUUC